AAAGAUUAAGCCAUGCAUGUCUAAGUAUAACCUAUAUAAUCGCGAAACCGCGAAUGGCUCAUUAUAACAGCUAUAAUUUACUUGAUCUUGACACUAUCCUACUUGGAUAACUGUGGUAAUUCUAGAGCUAAUACAUGCAUUAAAGCUCUGACCUCACGGGAAGAGUGCACUUAUUAGAACAAAACCAAGCGGCUUCGGCUGUUUUCGGUUGACUCAUAGUAACUGAGCUGAUCGCACGGUCUUGCACCGGCGACGUGUCUUUCAAGUAUCUGCCGUAUCAACUUUCGAUGGUAGUGUAUCUGACUACCAUGGUGAUCACGCGUAACGGAGAAUAAGGGUUCGGCUCCGGAGAGUUCGCCUGAGAAAUCGCGAACACAUCUAAGGAAGGCAGCAGGCGCGAAAAUUACCCACUCUCAGCACGAGGAGGUAGUGACGAAAAAUAACGAGACCGUUCUCUUAUGAGGCCGGUCAUCGGAAUGGGUACAAUUUAAACCCUUUAACGAGUAUCUAUGAGAGGGCAAGUCUGGUGCCAGCAGCCGCGGUAAUUCCAGCUCUCAAAGUGCAUAGAAUUAUUGCUGCGGUUAAAAAGCUCGUAGUUGGAUCUGUGCCAUAGGACGUGGUCCACCCUCUGGGUGCGUACUAUGUUCCUAGGCUUUUUGCUGGUUUUCCCGUCGUAGCCUUAACUGGUUGCGGCGGGUGGCUGGCGAGUUUACUUUGAGAAAAUCAGAGUGCUCAACACAGGCGUAUCGCUUGAAUGAUUGUGCAUGGAAUAAUAGAAAAGGAUUUCGGUCCUCUUUUAUUGGUUUUGUGGACUGAGAUAAUGGUUAACAGGGACCAACGGGGGCAUUCGUAUCGCUGCGUGAGAGGUGAAAUUCUUGGACCGUAGCGAGACGCCCUACUGCGAAAGCAUUUGCCAAGAAUG
rnacentral:rRNA from 1 species